UUAAAGCUUCAAACUGGGAUUAGAUACCCCACUAUUUAAAAAAAUAAAUAUAUUAACAUUUACCAGAGCACUACGAAUAAAAAUUUUAAAACUCAAAGGGCUUGGCGGUGUUUUAUACCUCUUAGGGGAACCUGUCUCGUAAUCGAUAGUCCACGAUAUACCUAACCUUAUUUUGUAUUCAGUUUGUAUACCGUCGUCGUCAGGUAACUUUUAAAAAUAUAAAAGUUAGCUAAUAAAUAAAAUAAAUUUACACGUCAGAUCAAGGUGCAACUUAUAAUAAGGUGAAGAUGGGUUACAAUUAAAAGUUAUAACUACGAAUAAACAAUGAAAAAAUGUAUGAAGGAGGACUUAAAAGUAAAAUAAUAAUAUAAAAAUUAUUUGAAUGUGGCUCUGAAACGUGCACACACCGCCCGUCACCCUCUGCAGUCAAACA
rnacentral:rRNA from 1 species